UACGGAGGGUGCGAGCGUUGUUCGGAAUUACUGGGCGUAAAGCGCGUGUAGGCGGCUUCUUAAGUCUGAUGUGAAAGCCCGGGGCUUACCCCCGGAAGUGCAUUGGAAACUGGGAGGCUUGAGUACCGGAGAGGAGGGUGGAAUUCCUGGUGUAGCGGUGAAAUGCGUAGAUAUCAGGAGGAACACCGGUGGCGAAGGCGGCCCUCUGGACGGAUACUGACGCUGAGACGCGAAAGCGUGGGGAGCAAACAGGAUUAGAUACCCUAGUAGU
rnacentral:rRNA from 1 species